CGAUCACCAUGCAUCAUUAGAUUAUUACAUUAUUCAAUAUGUUUCCAUUUUGUUUAUAGUUUAUCAACGUUUAGUUGUUUAUCAAAUAACAAUCACGUUUUGCAACGGUAAAAGAGAACUGGUAAAACCCUCAUGACAUACAUAAGCAACCAUAAGAUUAAGUACAAUAAGAAUUAUUUACAGUGUCUAUAAAGAGUAUCGGUAUAUCGUUGUCUUUAUCAUAGCAUUUACAUACUGAUUAAUUAGGUUCAAAUAUUUUUUAUACCAUUCAGUAAUACUUUCAUGAAUACAUACAUUUGAUACUAUGAAAUUGUAAUGCAGGGCACGAUGGAAAAACGGUACACUGGAAAAUAAGGAUCUGUGCCAAUACUUUUUGCGAUUACUGUGGAAUGAAUCGAACGUUUUUAUGUCCUAGCUGUUUUUCUAUAAACAUCAUACGUGUCUCGUAACGUAAAACACCGAAUACAGAAGAAGUUGUGAAAACAUUUGGAAAAAUGCAUAAUCUAAUAUUUAUGGCCAACGGCGUAAGUACAUGAAUUAAUUUUGUCAAAUAUAUUUCAACUACAAUAGUAUGCUACUCCUAGAAUUUUCUCAUACGUUAUCGCAUUUCUCCUUCGUUCACCAUCCUGAAAAAUUCUCAAGUACAGUAUCGUGCCGAGUACACGUACUCUGAUCUCCCUACUCUACCGUAACACCAUUGACCCGAUCGUCAUCUCCGAGGAUAGAACCGAAUAGUCGACAAAGAGGAGACAAAGAGUCGUCUCUGGCGGCAACGUACAAGACAGCUUUUGUUAUCCAGAGAAGGAAGAAGGAGAAAAAAGAAAAGACGAAAAAAUAAGAACGAAAAGGGGCAAAAGCUGAGACAAGGAAAAAACCCGUGGACCGAGUGGAUCCCCGAGGUCGACGUCGGACACGCGGAAUAUCUGGUCUGACCAUAUCCGUUAAGGUCGCGAUAUUGUCUUUUUGCGCAACGGAAAACCGGUACUGGUUCCCUUGUCGUCGUUGGAAAACGAUUCUGUGAUCGAACAAGCUUCACCCACGCGAUUCUCCUAUCCGCGACGCAGUUCAGAUUCGAUGCACUCCCACCUCCCUGGACAAAGAUCAUUCCCAAGCAUUUCUCGACUUUGUUCCCGUCGAUCGAUCCUUUCUAUCAAUUUUACGACCAAUACAAAGUGUGGGAAGGUGAAGCGAGCAACCUGUAGGAGCAUGGGAGUUCCAAUCGUCCUAUUUCAUACUAUAGCAUGUUUCGUAUAGUAGUAUGAAAAUAAUGUAUAAAGGAACAGAACUUACAAAUUGCUCGUUAUACGUACAUUAAUAUCCAUAAGUAUUUAUAUAAGCGCAUGUAUAUAAGGUAAGAUAUACUUGAGAUAAAAUUCUUCGAUCUAGCUCUAGGCUCUAAUCUUAUCACAAGUUAGUAUAAAUAUAAUUGGUUGUUAUAAAUAAAGAAGCAAUAAUGAAACGUCUGUUCAAUGUCGAGAUCUUAGAGCUAUUGAUACAUGAUGUUUUCCUAGCUACAUUCUAAAAGUAGGAUUGAUUUUGUGAAGUAUCGGCUAUUCGUUACGGAUAAACAUGGAACUCGAGUGACGCAGAUAUAUUCCUUGUUUAAAUUUGACUGAACAUCUGAUCGCAGUUACAGCUGGUGGUAAGGAACUAACAGUAGAAUUGCAGCAGGUGUUCAAGUACUUAUAGACGCUAGCGUAUACAUGUACUAUGAUUACGUAGAAUCGAAUCUACAGUCUGUGCUGCGUAUUUGACGAAAUCGCUUUAAAACGGUAGUCGAUUUGAACGCGUACGACUUUCACCGAACAUUAAAUCAUAUCGGUCAUUAUAAAUAAUAGCAAAUAGCAAUACAGUGUCGUGAUUGUUCAUAUCGAUGGCUUCGUAAAACUGCCUAAGGGAACGAGUACGGAGAAGAAGCAGGAAUCGCGUAGAAUGGAAUGCGGCAGUUUCUACUCGAAAAAUCCGAGAGAAGGAAAAACUAAAAGCGUACAAGUGCAACGAACUGCGACGAGGACGAUUACGGAAUAUCGCGAGAGCCGACGGCGGCAGGAGGAAAACGUUGCGUCAAUUUGGCGGAGAUCCGACGUGCCAACGGCCGAAAGAAAAACGCAUCCACGAGGCGAUCUUGGAGACAAGCCAACUCGUGUCGUUUCCAUUUACGCGAAACUUUUCAGCCGUGGUUCGCUACUCUCUGUGUCUAGAUGCUAUACGUUGUGUCCGUUGCACCAGGCUCGCGCUUUCUAACGGCGAAUUUACCUCGUUAAAUCGUGAGCAACGUACCGGACUCGAGAAAAACUAGCGUCCCCGUCUGCCCGCGUUGCUCACGAGGGGGAGAGAGGACGCACGCAACAGUUUCAACCCUGUGGAAAAUCGUCGGGCAGAGAGCGAAGAGACAAAGGUCCGCGCGAUCCGCUCGACGCAUGGCAGUGGACCGACAUAAUAGUCGUUGUUGCAUUAUACUCCCCGGCUUCCCCUACGUAAUCGCGAUAUCGGUUCAACGGCCAUGCGAAAUUAACUUUCUCCGGCGCGGGUCUGCCAACGAGAAGCCCACUAGAAGCAGCAUGGUUACUACAUAUACAUUAGAUUGCCAGCGAUGUGCUCGAACCGCUUUCAAACCGAUUCCAUCACUUUUAAUAUCGAACAUAAAGUAAAUUCGAUUAACCGGUUUCUCUUUAGUGGGCUAUUUGAUUAAUAACUCGGUGAAUGGUUAACGUAGACCGGAUACAAUGGUACUUAAUCGGCAUGGCGAAACUGCAUAGAUAUUGAUAUAAUUAACGUGCGGUUCAGGAUAACAGAGACUGAUUUUAUGUCUUCGGUCCAUGCUGAUAGGAUAUUUUAAUGUGUUACGUUGUGAGGAUCAGUUGUAGAGUUGUAGAGACGAGUAGAGGUUGCUCUUCAAGUACAUUAUUUCUGCAAUACUACGUUGAUUCUAUAAUUGGAUGUUGUUUUGUAAUUAACAGUUAAAGCGCUAUAUAUUUGUAAUUUUAAGUGUAUCUAACGUGUUAAUCGAGAAAGUUCUGCUAACGGCUUAUUUAUUUAGAAAUCCCCUAUCUUUUUAUGCCACAAAUACCGUUGUAAAUCAAUUACAUUUACAAGGAUUAAAACCGUGUCCUAACCAAAA